GGACAGAAAGACCCUAUGAAGCUUUACUGUAGCUUGAAAUUGAAAUUGGACUUUAUUUGCGCAGUAUAGGUGGGAAGCGUUGAAAAUAGUCUUGCGGGAUUAUUGGAGCUAUCAGUGAGAUACCACUCUUGUAAUGUUAGAUUUCUAACUUUGUAUCAUAAUCUGGUCAAAGAACAGUUUCAGGUGGGCAGUUUGACUGGGGCGGUCGCCUCCCAAAUGGUAACGGAGGCGUACAAAGGUUUCCUCAGAUCGGUCAGAAAUCGAUCGUAGAGUGUAAAGGCAUAAGGAAGCUUGACUGUGAGACCUACAAGUCGAACAGGGACGAAAGUCGGUCUUAGUGAUCUGACGGUACUGAGUGGAAAGG
rnacentral:rRNA from 1 species